GAUGAACGCUCGCUACAGGCUUAACACAUGCAAGUCGAGGGGAAACGGCAUUGAGUGCUUGCACUCUUUGGACGUCGACCGGCGCACGGGUGAGUAACGCGUAUCCAACCUUCCCAUUACUGUGGGAUAACCUGCCGAAAGGCAGACUAAUACCGCAUAGUCUUCGAUGACGGCAUCAGAUUUGAAGUAAAGAUUUAUCGGUAAUGGAUGGGGAUGCGUCUGAUUAGCUUGUUGGCGGGGUAACGGCCCACCAAGGCGACGAUCAGUAGGGGUUCUGAGAGGAAGGUCCCCCACAUUGGAACUGAGACACGGUCCAAACUCCUACGGGAGGCAGCAGUGAGGAAUAUUGGUCAAUGGACGGAAGUCUGAACCAGCCAAGUAGCGUGCAGGAUGACGGCCCUAUGGGUUGUAAACUGCUUUUGUAUGGGGAUAAAGUUAGGGACGUGUCCCUAUUUGCAGGUACCAUACGAAUAAGGACCGGCUAAUUCCGUG
rnacentral:rRNA from 1 species